UCACAUCCCCCUUUUCCGCGCGUUUCUUUUCAUCAUCCCUUCGACUCUGCUCAAGCAACCUUACCCGCUCAUCCUUCUGCUUCCUCUGCGUCUUCACAAACGCGCCAAGCGGCGUCGUUUCCCACUCCACAUCUUUCAAGAACACCUCAACCUCCGCGCGAUCCUUGGGUGCAAAAGUCACUUUUGACCGCCGCUCUUCAAUCCACCGACUAUUCGCCUCCAGCUUCUGCACAACUAGCACGAUCAUCUGGUUGACUUUUGUAUUUUUGUUUCCAGACGUGCGGGAGGACAUCUCUUUCAGCCAACGCUUGAGCAUGACGAUUACAGGAAGCGAGAGUUCGGGGAAGGCAAUGUUUUUGGCCCAUAGGAUAAAGAAUUCCGAGAGCAGUUCUGCAACUUCAGCACCCACUCCAUCCUGGUAGACGCGGGUUCGUAGGUAAGAUUUGGGGGCACGAAUGCUUGUAGCGAAAUCGAGGGGCCGGAGGGUGGUGGAUUUUGGAGGUUUUCUCAUUUCGGCGGAGUUGAGGACCUCAACGAGUGCGGCUCCGAGUGGGAUGUAGGUUCCUGUCGUAAGAGAGAUACGGAGGAGGGAUCUCGUGAGCUGGAAACGUAACGGGAAGUAUUGUGCUGUGGGGAUCAGACGCAUCGCUCCGAGGGUGAUUUGGACUACGGG
rnacentral:sRNA from 1 species